rnacentral:rRNA from 1 species
UGGGGAAUAUUGGACAAUGGGGGGAACCCUGAUCCAGCCAUGCCGCGUGUGUGAAGAAGGCCUUAUGGUUGUAAAGCACUUUAAGCGAGGAGGAGGGUACUGGUAUUAAUACUACCAGGUACUGGACGUUACUCGCAGAAUAAGCACCGGCUAACUCUGUGCCAGCAGCCGCGGUAAUACAGAGGGUGCGAGCGUUAAUCGGAUUUACUGGGCGUAAAGCGUGCGUAGGCGGCUAAUUGAGUCGGAUGUGAAAUCCCCGAGCUUAACUUGGGAAUUGCAUUCGAUACUGGUUAGCUAGAGUGUGGGAGAGGAUGGUAGAAUUCCAGGUGUAGCGGUGAAAUGCGUAGAGAUAUGGAGGAAUACCGAUGGCGAAGGGAGCCAUCUGGCCUAACACUGACGCUGAGGUACGAAAGCAUGGGGAGCAAACAGG